UACAGAGGUCUCAAGCGUUGUUCGGAUUCAUUGGGCGUAAAGAGCGUGUAGGCGGCUCGGUAAGUCCGCUGUGAAAGUCCAGGGCUCAACCCUGGAAUGCCGGUGGAAACUGUCGAGCUAGAGUCCGGAAGAGGCGAGUGGAAUUCCUGGUGUAGCGGUGAAAUGCGCAGAUAUCAGGAGGAACACCUGUGGCGAAAGCGGCUCACUGGACCACAACUGACGCUGAUGCGCGAAAGCUAGGGGAGCAAACAGG
rnacentral:rRNA from 1 species